rnacentral:sRNA from 1 species
UUCCUGUCACAAGGACAUACUGUUUCAGUGAACUCCUUAGUAUUUUUUGGUUGAGGUAAUGAAUGUGAAGCCCCUUUGAUUUUUCUGCUCGAUCUAACUGAACUCCUGCUACAUUUGUAGCAACAUAAGUUUUGUAGGCAUACAUCAGUCAUGACAAAAACAGUACAUCUGUAUACAGUGGCAAGUGGAUGCAUCCUGAAAAUCUAUAGUUAAUAAUUCUCUGCUAAGAAACAGUAUUUUCAUCUAAUUCUGGAAACUCGUUAAUCGUUAGGAAUCUUUAAAACAAAGACAAAGCUAAUAAAAUGUCAAUAUAUAGCCAAUUAAAUGUUUUCAAUAGUUACAGCACAUUAUUGGCCUGCCAUUUUCCCCCAAUGUUAAUAAAGCCCCUUCAAAUAUUUCUACAACUAGCUUUCAUGAAUCUAAGUGGGUGUUAAUCAUUUUAAUUAAUGGUUUAAAUAUAAUGGUUUAAUACCUUAGUACAGGUUAAAAGCGUCAUUAAUGCUGUUAGUUUUGAUGAAAAAUGUAAGUUAUAAUCUUAUUUAAAAAAACAGGCAAACCACGGACUUGCACUUUUAUUUGCCCUGGGCUGAAAAUGUGCCAAAGUCCCACUUAAAAUUUUUUUUUAAUGCUUGAAACUUUUCUGACCAUUUGAUCUUGUGUUGGAUUGUGUUUUGUAAUAAUCUAAGCAAAAUUGCUUUAUGCUCUUCCCCAAUUAAAAACAAGAAUGAUGACCUUCA